ensembl:rRNA 5S_rRNA 5S ribosomal RNA
GUCUAUGGCCAUACUACCCUGAACACGCCCGAUCUCAUCUGAUCUUGGCAGCUAAGCAGGGGCAAGCCUGAUUUGUACUUGAAUGGGAGACCGUCUGGGAAUACUGGGUGCUAUAGGCU